AUGCCCACAGGGUGGCUGCUGGCCGAUGAGGGGCAGGCGUGGGCCCGGCUGGGCGUGAGUGAGACCCUCCCUGGCACCUCCUGGUCCUGCUCCACUUCCCCCCUCCUCCUGCCUCUUUCAGCUGCUCACCCCAGCCCUCUCCUCCUUCCCGCACAGCCCACCGCCCACUGUCCUCUCCAUCCCGCCUCUGUGAGCGCUUGUGCAAGUGCUCUGGCCCUGACAGGGUCUCUUCUCCCACUUCUGUUUCUAUGCCUCUCUCUCCCCCUCCCUCCAUCCUUUUCCCUUCUCCUCUUCCUCUCUCCACAUCCUUGUCUUCCACACCCACCCUCCCUCACUACACGCAGGUGCAUACACACACACUCUUCUCUCCAUCCUUUUUCCUUCCUCCCUCGGGUCUCUCUCCUUCUUGGUUCCUCUCCUCUCUCCCUCUCUCAUCCCCCUUCCCUCAGCCUCCCCGUCCUCUCUCCUCUCCAUCCUCCAUGUCCACUUUCCCUCCUCCAGCGCUCGCUGCCUCCCUUUCUCUCAUCUCCCUCCACACUCCUCUCUUCUUUUUUCUUUCCCACUCUAUUUUCUGUGUUGUUUUCUCAUCUCUCUCUUUUCUCUCCCCUCCUUCCCUCCUGCUUCUCUCCUCCCCUCUGGCCUGAACCCUUCCCCUCCUCACACUCUCUUCUGUGUCUUCUCUCCUCCGUGCUCCCUCCUUCUCCCCCUCCUGGUCUCAUCUCUCCUCGGUCCCAUUUCUCUCCCUUCUUCCUCCUCCUCCUCUCGGACUCUCUCCUCCACAUCAUCCUCCUCUCCCAGUGUCUCUCCCAACCAGCCUUUCCUUCUCUCUCCUCUCCUCCCUGCUCCUCUUCCUCCUUUCCCCUGAGGGGCCCCUUCUCCUCGCCCUCUAUUUUUCCUGCACUUUCUCUUCCCUCCUCUCCCCCUUUCUCCCCUCUCGCUCCAUCUCUGUUCUCUCCUUUCUCUCCUGAGUCUCCUUUUCUUCUGUUUUCCUACUCUCACCAUCUUCUCUUCCUUCUCUCUCUCCGUCCCGUUUCCCCCAUCUCCCCCUCCCCUCUCACUCUCUCUCCCUUGUUCCUCCCCCUCCUCUGA
rnacentral:lncRNA from 1 species